AAGUCGAAGGGGUAGAAGAAUGCUUGCAUUCUUGAAGACCGGCGCACGGGUGCGUAACGCGUAUACAAUCUGCCUCUUACUGCGGGAUAGCCCAGAGAAAUUUGGAUUAAUACCGCAUAGUAUAAUUACUUGGCAUCAAGUUAUUAUUAAAGGUUACGGUAAGAGAUGAGUAUGCGUUCUAUUAGCUAGAUGGAGUGGUAACGGCACACCAUGGCAACGAUAGAUAGGGGUCCUGAGAGGGAGAUCCCCCACACUGGUACUGAGACACGGACCAGACUCCUACGGGAGGCAGCAGUGAGGAAUAUUGGACAAUGGAGGCAACUCUGAUCCAGCCAUGCCGCGUGCAGGAAGACUGCCCUAUGGGUUGUAAACUGCUUUUGUACGGGAAGAAACAACUCUACGUGUAGAGUCUUGACGGUACCGUAAGAAUAAGGAUCGGCUAACUCCGUGCCAGCAGCCGCGGUAAUACGGAGGAUCCAAGCGUUAUCCGGAAUCAUUGGGUUUAAAGGGUCCGUAGGUGGAUGAUUAAGUCAGAGGUGAAAUCCUGCAGCUCAACUGUAGAAUUGCCUUUGAUACUGGUUAUCUUGAAUCAAUGUGAAGUGGUUAGAAUAUGUAGUGUAGCGGUGAAAUGCAUAGAUAUUACAUAGAAUA
rnacentral:rRNA from 1 species